ACGUAGGUGGCAAGCGUUGUCCGGAUUUACUGGGUAUAAAGGGAGCGCAGGCGGGGAAGCAAGUCAGCGGUGAAAUACAUGGGCUUAACCCAUGAACUGCCGUUGAAACUGUUUUUCUUGAGUGAAGUAGAGGCAGGCGGAAUUCCGAGUGUAGCGGUGAAAUGCGUAGAUAUUCGGAGGAACACCAGUGGCGAAGGCGGCCUGCUGGGCUUUUACUGACGCUGAGGCUCGAAAGCGUGGGGAGCAAACAG
rnacentral:rRNA from 1 species